AUUGCCCUUACUAUGUGCGGAUUAAUUUGUGUAUGUGUAUCAGGCAUGCAUUCACACUUUUGCUGAAUUUAAAAUCAAACAAUCACCACAAAAGGGAAUUUAAAUAAGAAAGGUUUAGAGGUUACCAAAGGAAAUUUCUCCAGCAAUUUUGAAAAAAAAAAUUUAGGCAAACCUCGACAGCAUUCCUUUUCCAGCAGUUCCCUUUUUGAUCGUUCCAGAUUUUCUUUUCGAUUUCUGAUCAAGAAAAAUCAAAAAUUAGUAAGAGAG
rnacentral:lncRNA from 1 species